GAUGAACGCUGGCGGCGUGCCUAAUACAUGCAAGUCGAGCGAACGGACGAGAAGCUUGCUUCUCUGAUGUUAGCGGCGGACGGGUGAGUAACACGUGGAUAACCUACCUAUAAGACUGGGAUAACUUCGGGAAACCGGAGCUAAUACCGGAUGAGAUUUUGAACCGCAUGGUUCAAAAGUGAAAGACGGUCUUGCUGUCACGUAUAGAGGGAUCCGCGCUGCAUUAGCUAGUUGGUAAGGUAACGGCUUACCAAGGCAACGAUGCAUAGCCGACCUGAGGGGGUGGUCGGCCACAUUGGAACUGAGACACGGUCCAGACUCCUACGGGAGGCAGCAGUAGGGAAUCUUCCGCAGUGGGCGAAAGCCUGACGGAGCGACGCCGCGUGAGUGAUGAAGGUCUUCGGAUCGUAAAACUCUGUUAUUAGGGAAGAACAUAUGUGUAAGUAACUGUGCACAUCUUGACGGUACCUAAUCAGAAAGCCCCGGCUAACUACGUG
rnacentral:rRNA from 1 species